rnacentral:rRNA from 1 species
GACGAACGCUGGCGGCGUGCUUAACACAUGCAAGUCGAGCGGUAAGGCCCUUUCGGGGGUACACGAGCGGCGAACGGGUGAGUAACACGUGGGUGACCUGCCCUUGGCUCUGGGAUAAGCCUGGGAAACUGGGUCUAAUACCGGAUAUGACUCCAUGACGCAUGUUGUGGGGUGGAAAGCCUUGUGCGGCUAGGGAUGGGCCCGCGGCCUAUCAGCUUGUUGGUGGGGUGAUGGCCUACCAAGGCGACGACGGGUAGCCGGCCUGAGAGGGCGACCGGCCACACUGGGACUGAGACACGGCCCAGACUCCUACGGGAGGCAGCAGUGGGGAAUCUUGCGCAAUGGGCGAAAGCCUGACGCAGCGACGCCGCGUGGGGA